AGAAUCCAAAGGGAUGUUGCUGGCCUUUCAUUAGACCGUGCACUCCCGCCUUCAUAUCCACCUGUGCACUUUGACGUAGACUAGGAUUGAUUUCCGAGUCUAUGUUUUUCAUAUACUCUUUAUUAUUGAAGUCAAUGAAUGUAUUAGGCUUCGGCCAAUAACACAAUACAACUUUCAACAAUGGAUCUCUUGGUUCUCGCAUCGAUGAAGAACGCAGCGAAUUGCGAUAUGUAAUGUGAAUUGCAGAAUUCAGUGAAUCAUCGAAUCUUUGAACGCACCUUGCGCCCUUUGGUAUUCCGAAGGGCAUGCCUGUUUGAGUGUCAUUAAAUUCUCAACUUCAACACUUUUUGUAUUGAAGCUUGGAUGUUGGAGGGUUUGCAGGCAUAUUUAAUGUCAGCUCCUCUUAAAUGCAUUAGCAGGACUUGUACGUUUGGCUCUGGUUUGAUAAUCCUAUCUAUGCCAUUGCUGAAAUGUCAUUGUUCAGCUUCUAAUGGUCCAUCUUAUUGGACUGUCUCUUCGGAGGCAUAUCUUUUGACUUGACCUCAAAUCAGGUAGGACUACCCGCUGAACUUAAGCAUAUCA
rnacentral:rRNA from 1 species